rnacentral:rRNA from 1 species
UCAGCGAUGGAUAUCUUGGCUCGGGCACCUGUGAAGGGCGCAGCGAAGCGCGAUAGUCUUUGUGACCUGCAGAACUCCGUGAACCAAUCGCCUCCUGAACGUGCCUUGCACUCUUGGGAUUUCCUGAGAGUAUG